UUUUUUUUUUUUUUUUAUCUUUUUGCCUUUUCUAGGGCCACUUCCCAAGGCAUAUGGAGGUUCCCAGGCUAGGGGGUCUAGUCGGAGCUCAACACCAGAUCCUUAACCCACUGAGCAAGGCCAGGGAUCGAACUCAAAACCUCAUCGUUCCUAGUUGGAUUCGUUAACUACUGAGCCACCACAGGAACUCCAAGCCAAGAAUAAGUUUUGAGGACAAAGUAGAAUGCUAAUGUAAAGAAACCAGAUUGAAUACCCAAAGUGAGAGACUGAAAAGCGCACACACACACACACACUUACACACCCCUUCCUGUUUUAGGAGGCAGAACUUUUAAUUUCCAUGAAUCCACACAUUCAUUUACUUAAGUAACAGAACUUCCACUUUAUUUAUUUUUGUCCUUUUUAGGGCAGCACCUGUGGCAUAUGGAGGUUCCCAGGCUAGGGGUCUAAUUGGAGCUACAGCUGCUGGCCUACACCACAGACACAGCAAUGCCAGAUCCGAGCCUUGUCUGCAACCUACACCACAGCUCAUGGCAAUGCCGGAUCCUUAAGCCACUGAGUGAGGCCAGGGAUCAAACCCGCAACCUCGUGGUUCCUAGUCAGAUUUGUUUCCGCUGCGCCACAAUGGGAACUCCCAGAACUUCCACUUUAUUUGAGAACUUCUUAGCAAAAAAAAUCACCAAUAGAAAAGGAUCGGCAAGUCCUGGGGAUAUUUUAAAAUCUUUCUUACCAAAGGAGAAUCUUUUACCUAAAUCAAAACAGGGCUGGCUUCACCUCAUCCUGGGCUCAGGUACAUUCAAGGCAAUCUUUACUUCCUUUGGUUCCAGGUUAUUGAGAACUGAAACUUGUUUAGAAUUCCUCCAUUGGGGGGACCUGAGAGGUGACCCAGCCUUCCUUUUUCCAGACUGUUCAGCACUGAAGCCAUCCUAGGCAGAUGGAUGUUUAUCCUAUUCUGAAAAUCUCCAGGGAAGUAAAUGCUCUCCAGCCUCCCCUGGUAACCUUCUCCAGGGUUUUAUCAAGCGUACAGAGAGGAAGUUCUGAUGCAGAAACCAAUAAAAAUAUUAACUCUAUGAGCUUAGUUACAAGCACCGGAAAGGGACAUGUGUUCGGGCACUUUGCCUUCAUGGUAGAGACGUAUUUACAAAACAGGCUCUACAAACAGAAACCAUUUGUCAGGAGCAGAUGUGGGAAGGGACUCAAGAGAAACUGCCACAGUAAAUUCUGUCCCAUAAACCAUGUGAAUAAGUUAUCGUUGGUUAUAAUGGUUUUCUAAAGCACAAAUUCAUUUCCCUGUCAAUUGCUAGUUUUAGCUCCUAAACCAGGUUUGUAAGCAAUUUUUAAAAGUCCAUAGCUGCAAAGUUUUCAACUGCCUAAGCUUCCAAGAAAAACAAGGCCUUAGCAAACAGAAUGUAAAUGUUAGGGAUAGAAACAGUUUUCUUCUUUCUUAGUUCUAUAUAGUCCACCUUUUCUACAAUGAUCAUGUAAUAUUUUUAGAGUCAUACGGAAAAGACUUUUAAAAGACAAGAAGAACCAUCAAAAUUAAUUAAAAUGUAAACCAACUUGUGGCGAGAUUAUUGGAAGGAAGAUUUCACCAUAUGUCUGACCAAGGUACUUUUAUUUAAUCAGAAACGAUCAUUUAACCAGUCUUUAAAUAUUAACUGAUUAGAAACAGGAGAAGAGGUCCUGUUGCACCAGGACGUCUCAUAGCACUACCUCCAUAGAAAUUAUAUGAAUGUGGGCACCCAGUCCUGUCCUCUCAAAAGCUUCGGAGCACAGAAGCGCAUCACGCUAUGAUUUAAAAAACAAAACAAAAAAAAAGCCAAAACACAUUAGCAAGAGAUGGUCACACCCCACCCCCACCGGAAGCUGGAUGUAUUGAAAUUUUAUAACCUCGCCCCCACCCCUCAGCAAAGCAUUUUUAUCUCUCCCGCAACUCAGUCAAGCACGUGUCAGGUAUAGUUUCAUUUUCAUGAUUUAACGUUUGCUCCAUGACAGUGGAACACACC
rnacentral:lncRNA from 1 species